AAAUGUUUUAUAUUUGUUUUAUAAUAUAGCACAAAGAAACAUAAAGAAAGAAAUUUUCCGACGUUUCCGUGUUGACAUUGAGUUAUAUCAACACGGCUCUUAGCCAAUCAGCGUUCAGAAUUUACAAAUGCUAUAUUAUAAAACAGUUUUAAGAGCAUCUUCGUUUAAGAAUAUAAAAAUUUUGAUGACAGUGCCACUUUAAGUAAUAGUUAGAUCAUGAGCGGCCGUGUUGUAUCAGAUAUACAAACUCGAGCCGAAGGCGUGGUGAGGUUGUAUGUCUGAUACAACAUGAUCAUGGACGCGAAUGCUUUAUAUAGCUUGUAUUCGUAUUCUUCGACAUGAUAUUUGGUGAGAAAAUUGAACCUGACGUUUAUGUAAAUCAGUAUGAUCUGUAUCACACUCAUGAUUUCUUUUGUGUUUUAGUAAGUUUCACAAUAUAUCAUAAACAUAUCAA